rnacentral:piRNA from 1 species
GAUCCAACCUCCUUGAUUCGCAU